UAGGGAAUAUUGCACAAUGGGGGAAACCCUGAUGCAGCGACGCCGCGUGAGUGAUGAAGGCCUUCGGGUCGUAAAGCUCUGUCGUAUGGGACUAACACAAUGAAGGUACCAUGCAAGAAAGGAUCGGCUAACUUCGUGCCAGCAGCCGCGGUAAGACGAGGGAUCCUAGCGUUGUUCGGAAUUAUUGGGCGUAAAGCGGGUGUAGGCGGCUUUAUAAGUCAGGUGUGAAAGCCCGGGGCUCAACCCCGGAAGUGCACUUGAUACUGUUAAGCUUGAGUGUGGUAGAGGUUACUGGAAUUCCUGGUGUAGUGGUGAAAUACGUAGAUAUCAGGAGGAAUACCGGAGGCGAAGGCGGGUAACUGGGCCAACACUGACGCUGAGACCCGAAAGCGUGGGGAUC
rnacentral:rRNA from 1 species